UUUGGUGUUUACACUAACUGAUGAGUUGCGAACGGGUGAGUAACGCGUAGGUAACCCGCCUCAUAGCGGGGGAUAACUAUUGGAAACGAUAGCUAAUACCGCAUAAGAGUGAUUAACACAUGUUAGUUAUUUAAAAGGAGCAAUUGCUUCACUGUGAGAUGGACCUGCGUUGUAUUAGCUAGUUGGUGAGGUAAAGGCUCACCAAGGCGACGAUACAUAGCCGACCUGAGAGGGUGAUCGGCCACACUGGGACUGAGACACGGCCCAGACUCCUACGGGAGGCAGCAGUAGGGAAUCUUCGGCAAUGGACGGAAGUCUGACCGAGCAACGCCGCGUGAGUGAAGAAGGUUUUCGGAUCGUAAAGCUCUGUUGUUAGAGAAGAACGUUGGUAGGAGUGGAAAAUCUACCUAGUGACGGUAACUAACCAGAAAGGGACGGCUAACUACGUGCCAGCAGCCGCGGUAAUACGUAGGUCCCGAGCGUUGUCCGGAUUUAUUGGGCGUAAAGCGAGCGCAGGCGGUUCUUUAAGUCUGAAGUUAAAGGCAUGGCUUAACCAUUGUACGCUUUGGAAACUGGAGGACUUGUAGUGCAGAAGGGGAGAGUGGAAUUCCAUGUGUAGCGGUGAAAUGCGUAGAUAUAUGGAGGAACACCGGUGGCGAAAGCGGCUCUCUGGUCUGUAGCUGUACGCUGAGGCUCGAAAGCGUGGGGAGCAAACAGGAUUAGAUACCCUGGUAGUCCACGCCGUAAACGAUGAGUGCUAGGUGUUAGGCCCUUUCCGGGGCU
rnacentral:rRNA from 1 species